GGAUCCAGACUUUGAUCAUGGCUCAGGAUGAACGCUAGCUACAGGCUUAACACAUGCAAGUCGAGGGGAAACGAUAUUGGAAGCUUGCUUCCGAUAGGCGUCGACCGGCGCACGGGUGAGUAACGCGUAUCCAACCUGCCCAUCACUUGGGGAUAACCUUGCGAAAGUAAGACUAAUACCCAAUGACGUCCAUAGAAGACAUCUGAAGUGGAUUAAAGAUUUAUCGGUGACGGAUGGGGAUGCGUCUGAUUAGCUUGUUGGCGGGGUAACGGCCCACCAAGGCGACGAUCAGUAGGGGUUCUGAGAGGAAGGUCCCCCACAUUGGAACUGAGACACGGUCCAAACUCCUACGGGAGGCAGCAGUGAGGAAUAUUGGUCAAUGGACGAGAGUCUGAACCAGCCAAGUAGCGUGCAGGAAGACGGCCCUAUGGGUUGUAAACUGCUUUUAUAAGGGAAUAAAGUGAGUCUCGUGAGACUUUUUGCAUGUACCUUAUGAAUAAGGACCGGCUAAUUCCGUGCCAGCAGCCGCGGUAAUACGGAAGGUCCGGGCGUUAUCCGGAUUUAUUGGGUUUAAAGGGAGCGUAGGCCGGAGAUUAAGCGUGUUGUGAAAUGUAGACGCUCAACGUCUGCACUGCAGCGCGAACUGGUUUCCUUGAGUACGCACAAAGUGGGCGGAAUUCGUGGUGUAGCGGUGAAAUGCUUAGAUAUCACGAAGAACUCCGAUUGCGAAGGCAGCUCACUGGAGCGCAACUGACGCUGAAGCUCGAAAGUGCGGGUAUCGAACAGGAUUAGAUACCCUGGUAGUCCGCACGGUAAACGAUGGAUGCCCGCUGUUGGUCUGAAUAGGUCAGCGGCCAAGCGAAAGCAUUAAGCAUCCCACCUGGGGAGUACGCCGGCAACGGUGCAACUCAAAGGAAUUGACGG
rnacentral:rRNA from 1 species